rnacentral:pre_miRNA from 1 species
AGCCUUCUGUAUCCGUGCUGAGGUUUCGUCACACACCAGACCAUAAGAGCUGAUGAGACUCCCAGAAUGGAACA